UAGUUUUUAUUAAAAGUAAGUUCUGCCCUAUGGUUUUUUAAAUGGCUGCAGUAUAUUGACUGUGCAAAGGUAGCAUAAUAAUUAGUCUUUUAAUUGAAGGCUUGUAUGAAUGAAUUCAUGAGAAAUUUAUUUUAUUAUUUUUAUAUUUUGAAUUUAAUUUUUGAGUUAAAAAGCUUGAUUUAAUUAUUGGGACGAGAAGACCCUGUAGAAUUUUAAUUUGUUUUUUAUAAUUAUUUUUCAGUUUAAUUUAAUUUUUUUUAUUAAAGAUAAAUUUUUGUUGGGGUGACAAAUAAAUAUGACUUUAUUUCUUAAAUUCAUUUGUUUAUGUGUUAUUGAUCCAUUUAGUUGAUUAUAAGAUAAAAUUACCUUAGGGAUAACAGCGUAAUUUUUAUGGUAAGUUCAUAUUUAUAUAAAAGUUUGCGACCUCGAUGUUGAAUUAAGAUAAUUAUAUGGGGCAG
rnacentral:rRNA from 1 species